rnacentral:rRNA from 1 species
GAUGAACGCUGGCGGCGUGCCUAAUACAUGCAAGUCGAGCGAACAGAUGAGGAGCUUGCUCCUCUGACGUUAGCGGCGGACGGGUGAGUAACACGUGGAUAACCUACCUAUAAGACUGGGAUAACUUCGGGAAACCGGAGCUAAUACCGGAUAAUAUAUUGAACCGCAUGGUUCAAUAGUGAAAGACGGUUUUGCUGUCACUUAUAGAUGGAUCCGCGCCGCAUUAGCUAGUUGGUAAGGUAACGGCUUACCAAGGCAACGAUGCGUAGCCGACCUGAGAGGGGGAUCGGCACCCCUGAAACUGAGAACGGGCCCAGCCCCCAAGGGAGGCAGCAGUAGGGAAUCUUCCGCAAUGGGCGAAAGCUUGACGGAGCAACGCCGCGUGAGUGAUGAAGGUCUUCGGAUCGUAAAACUCUGUUAUUAGGGAAGAACAAAUGUGUAAGUAACUAUGCACGUCUUGACGGUACCUAAUCAGAAAGCCACGGCUAACUACGUG